rnacentral:rRNA from 1 species
AUUGAACGCUGGCGGCAUGCCUUACACAUGCAAGUCGAACGGCAGCAUGGAAGAGCUUGCUCUUCUGAUGGCGAGUGGCGAACGGGUGAGUAAAGCAUCGGAACGUACCGUGUAGUGGGGGAUAACGUAGCGAAAGUUACGCUAAUACCGCAUACGCACUGAGGUGGAAAGCAGGGGAUCGCAAGACCUUGCGCUAUACGAGCGGCCGAUGUCAGAUUAGCUAGUUGGUAGGGUAAAGGCCUACCAAGGCGACGAUCUGUAGCGGGUCUGGGAGGAUGAUCCGCCACGCUGGGACUGAGACGCGGCCCAGACUCCUACGGGAGGCAGCAGUGGGGAAUUUUGGACAAUGGGGGAAACCCUGAUUCAGCCAUGCCGCGUGAGUGAAGAAGGCCUUCGGGUUGUAAAGCUCUUUCGGCUGGGAAGAAAUCGCACAGGCUAAUACUCUGUGUGGAUGACGGUACCAGCACAAGAAGCACCGGCUAACUACGUGCCAGCAGCCGCGGUAA